UGCGUAGGUGGUUGAAUGAGUUGGGUGUGAAAGUCCUGGGCUUAACCUGGGGAUUGCGCUUAAUACUGUUUAGCUAGAGUACUGUAGAGGGAGGUGGAAUUUCCAGUGUAGCGGUGAAAUGCGUAGAUAUUGGAAGGAACAUCAGUGGCGAAGGCGACUUUCUGGACAGAUACUGACACUGAGGCACGAAAGCAUGGGGAGCAAACA
rnacentral:rRNA from 1 species